rnacentral:misc_RNA from 1 species
AAAAAAAAGACUGACGAGAUGUCGGCCAUUGCAUUAAUAUAAAAUCGAUUAUAUUGAGAACCAUAAAUAUAUUUAAUCCAAUAUUGAAGAAAAUAAGUAAAUACAGUUGAAUUCAGGUUCAAAAAUGAACACGAAAAGUAGAAGUAACUAUAAUGAAGACCUCUUCGAGUACAUUCGAGUCAGUGAAGACGAAGAUGACGCUAACGCUGUAGAAAUUCCUUGUGAACUUGAUGGUACCUUGCUUCUGUCAACGCUAGUAGCGCAGUUUCCUGGAGCAUGCGGCUUGAAGUACCGCCAUCCUGAAAGUAAAUCUGUCCGUGGAAUUCGUUUGAGUGAUGGCAAGCUUCAUCCCCCAAAUGAAGCCGGCUGGGGUAAGCAUCUUUAUAUUUGCGUUUUCCCCAAAGAAAACAAACGUAAGAUGGAAGACGUUUCUCCUGAGAACUCUGCUGCAAAAACAAAACGUCUUGAGAAAAAACUUACCUGUUCUGAUUUAAUUUGUCUUGGUUUACCAUGGAAAUCUACAGAAGAGUCAAUAAGGCAAUACUUCGAACAGUUUGGUGAAGUUGUCAUGGUCCAGCUUAAAAGGGAUAAAAAUGGUACAUUUAAAGGAUUUGGCUUCAUUCGCUUUGCAACUUAUGUAUCUCAAAUGAGAGCUUUGGCUCAAAGGCACAACAUAGAAGGGCGUUGGGUAGAUGUGAGAAUCCCUAACUCCAAAGAAGGAGUAGUACCUCAAAUGCCAUGUAAAGUAUUUGUUGGAAGAUGUACCGAGGAUAUGACUGCUGAUGACCUUCGAGAUUAUUUUUCCAAAUUUGGAGAGGUUACAGACGUCUUUGUUCCUAGACCAUUCAGAGCAUUUGGUUUUGUCACAUUUUUGGACCCAGAAGUAGCUCAAAGCCUAUGUGGUGAGGACCAUGUUAUUAAAGGAGCAUCAGUGUCUGUUUCCAGUGCUGCACCAAAGAUUAAAGCCAAAUCUAACCAGAAUUGGAAGGAUGAUGGUUAUGGACCUAAUAACUGGGAUGGAAACAGAUCAGGUCCUUCUGGGGGAUCAAAUAAUUCUGGUGGAAGUAGUAACAUAGACUCACUGAAUAUGCAAAACUUGGGCAUCAAUCCAAAUGGGGGCCCACCAGCUAACUUCAAUUUACCUAUAAGUCUUGUAGCGGCUGCUUUAAAUCAAGCAGGAUGGGGAGGAUUUCUUGGAGGGCCUGGUAAUGGAGGCCCUAAUUGGCAAGGGGGUCCACCUCAAAGCAACUCAGGAAAAAAUUGGAAUAGCAACCAAAAUUGGGGUCAGAGUGGUCCUCCACCAUCAUGGAACCAAGGAGGUAGCAACCAAGGUUGGAAUGGCAACAAGAGUGGCAACUGGAACCAAGGGAACUGGUCAAAUGGGCAAGGAGGGUGGGGAGGUAAUGGCAACAAUGGGUCAGGCCCGCCUGCGUCUAGCAGUGCAUGGAACAGCAACAAGCCCCAGACAUGAGAUAUAACAUGUGAAAUCUGCGAGCGUAGCACACUAAUUCGAUAGACUUUAUGACAUUGGUGCAUCCCUAUCACACUUACAAAUAGUGCGAAAAGGACGGCCUCGCGUUAUAUCGUUUAUCACGCGACCAUGCUUGCCUGCCUGGGAUUCAAAUAGUGAUGGCUGAAGAAACUCAGCAACAGCUUUUAACAUGCAUGGGAGAGAUGGGAGGAAAAAUGCCAAAAAGGAGAUAUC